CAAGAGAAAGAUACAGGAGGCAGCUGGGUACCAUCUUUCCAUGAGCCUUCAGGUGGCCUUGGCAUCAUGCCGCAUAGCCCAGGACUUCCAUGGGAAUCCUGGUGGGGGUCCUUUGACCCAGCUCCACCGACUCGGCGAUUAGUAGAGCUCCACCCAGAUUCAGACACAGCAUAUUAAACUGACAUUCUUGACUGGCCAUCUGACUUCUCCAUCCGGUGAGGAGGUCCUCAAAGGCAAACACUAUGUUAUUGCCUCUGGAUUCCAUUCCCUACGUUUAACUCAAGGCUGGGAGCAUAGAAGACAGACACUCAGAGAUGAUGGCCGAUCAAAGGAAUGGAUGAAGAAGUACAUGAAAGAGUAUGCUGGUGGGAAGGAGAAAAAAGGAAAGCUGCCUCUUUCUGAAACUUCCUAGCUGAUUUCCUCAUCCAUAAAAUAAAGAUAAUAUCUAUUGCACGGAAAUGUUUUGACGAGGAAGUUAAAGGCAACAGCGUUUGCGAAAAGACUUUGCAAUUCAAAGCAUGCAGGAGGCAUCUUAAAAAUGUGAAAAACAAUCAAAAAUC